rnacentral:rRNA from 1 species
CCUACGGGUGGCAGCAGUGAGGAAUAUUGGUCAAUGGACGCAAGUCUGAACCAGCCAUGCCGCGUGCAGGAAGACGGCUCUAUGAGUUGUAAACUGCUUUUGUACGAGGGUAAACGCAGAUACGCGUAUCUGUCUGAAAGUAUCGUACGAAUAAGGAUCGGCCAACUCCGUGCCAGCAGCCGCGGUAAUACGGAGGAUUCAAGCGUUAUCCGGAUUUAUUGGGGUUAAAGGGGGCGUAGGCGGUCGGGUAAGUUAGAGGGGAAAACCCGAGGGCCAACUUCGGAAUUGCCUUUGAUACUGUUCGGCUUGAGAGUAGGUGCGGUAGGCGGAAUGUAUGGUGUAGCGGUGAAAUGCUUAGAGAUCAUGCAGAACACCGAGUGCGAAGGCAGCUUACCGGGCUACUUCUGACGUUGAGGCACGAAAGCGUGGGGAGCAAACAGGAUUAGAUACCCUUGUAGUC